AUUGAACGCUGGCGGCAUGCCUUACACAUGCAAGUCGAACGGUAACGGGCCUUCGGGUGCCGACGAGUGGCGAACGGGUGCGUAAUGUAUCGGAACGUACCUUUCAGUGGGGGAUAACGUAGCGAAAGUUACGCUAAUACCGCAUAUUCUGUGAGCAGGAAAGCAGGGGAUCGCAAGACCUUGCGCUGAUUGAGCGGCCGAUAUCAGAUUAGCUAGUUGGUGAGGUAAAGGCUCACCAAGGCGACGAUCUGUAGCGGGUCUGAGAGGAUGAUCCGCCACACUGGAACUGAGACACGGUCCAGACUCCUACGGGAGGCAGCAGUGGGGAAUUUUGGACAAUGGGGGCAACCCUGAUCCAGCCAUGCCGCGUGAGUGAAGAAGGCC
rnacentral:rRNA from 1 species